GUGUCAGCAGCCGCGGUAAUACAGAGGGUGCAAGCGUUGUUCGGAAUUAUUGGGCGUAAAGCGCGUGUAGGCGGCUUUGCAAGUCGGGUGUGAAAGCCCUCAGCUCAACUGAGGAAGUGCGCCCGAAACUGCAGAGCUUGAAUACCAGAGAGGAUAGCGGAAUUCCCCAAGUAGAGGUGAAAUUCGUAGAUAUGGGGAGGAACACCAGUGGCGAAGGCGGCUAUCUGGAUGGCUAUUGACGCUGAGACGCGAAAGCGUGGGUAGCAAACAGGAUUAGAUACCCUGGUAGUCCACGCUGUAAACGAUGAGAACUAGGUAUCGUGGGUGUUGACCCCUGCGGUGCCGUCGCUAACGCAUUAAGUUCUCCGCCUGGGAAGUACGGCCGCAAGGCUAAA
rnacentral:rRNA from 1 species